rnacentral:tRNA from 1 species
GCCCGGGUGGCUCAGUCGGUUGAGCAUCCGACUUCGGCUCAGGUCAUGAUCUCACAGUUCGUGGGUUUGAGCCCCGCAUCAGGCU